rnacentral:snRNA from 1 species
AGCUUUGCGCAGUGGCAGUAUCGUAGCCAAUGAGGUUUAUCCGAGGCGCGAUUAUUGCUAAUUGAAAACAAUUAUUUGUGUACCUAUCUUCUCUUUUCUUGGACUAGUCACAUCUUAUGUGUUCUAACAUGUAGGAAAGUGCAUGACAGAUGUUUAAUAAUUCUUGAUGGAG